rnacentral:rRNA from 1 species
UACGUAGGGUGCGAGCGUUUGUCCGGAAUUAUUGGGCGUAAAGAGCUUGUAGGCGGUUUGUCGCGUCUGCUGUGAAAAUCCGGGGCUCAACCCCGGACUUGCAGUGGGUACGGGCAGACUAGAGUGUGGUAGGGGAGACUGGAAUUCCUGGUGUAGCGGUGAAAUGCGCAGGAUAUCAGGAGGAACACCGAUGGCGAAGGCAGGUCUCUGGGCCACUACUGACGCUGAGAAGCGAAAGCAUGGGGAGCGAACAGG